rnacentral:tRNA from 3 species
GGGUUGUUAGCUCAGGGGUUCAGAGCACUGUCUUCACACGGCAGGGGUCACUGGUUCAAAUCCAGUACAACCCA